GGCCCUCAAUCUCGAUGAAGAUAACACGAGGAGUGCACAGGCAAGUGCCCAGUUGCCAGCAAUUGCUUCAAAAGCCCAUGUUCUUCUCUUCGCCCCAUUCUUAGGCACAGCCAAAAUUGGUCAGAAAGGGGAGUAAAGUGGGACACGAGCUUCAAAGUAGGGAAACCAAAGAAGGGAGCAUCCACGUCCUCCCUCUCCAGCUUCUCCCCCGCGUUCUUCGGAGGAAUCCGAGGGACGGGCGCUGCGCUGGGGAAAGUUUGUCCCACCCGCGUUUCGCAGCUGGUUGCAAGGAGAGGAGGAGGAGAGGGAGGGUCAAGCUCGGAGCCUGUGGCCGCACGGAUGAUCGAGCCGGCGUCGCGCUUACCUCGCAGUCCUCGUACUUGAUAUUAUCCGUCAAUUUCCAAAGCAUUUUCAUGGAUCGGCGUGAACGGAUAUGCCCCUCUCGGUCUCGCACCCAAGUGGAGCUACUCUCUGGCUCUUUACCAACAGCCUAAUCGCCUCAUUAGCAUAUCAACAAUAGUCCAAUUGCUCGCCAGUACCACAAUCUGCCGCCGGCCGCUCCGACACAGGUAUAAAGGCCUCUCUACGCCGCGAACUUGCUUCUAGAGCGCACUCCAGCCUGCGAACUGAUAAAACCUUCCUCGAGCUCCGCCGCGAGGCCCUGCCCCAACACCCCCUCUCUUACCCCAAUUCCGCCACAUUCCCCUUCCUUUCUUUCUCCGCUUCCUUUUCUCCAGAGAUGCCUUCUGCAAAGCCCGGCACUGCUCAAGGUCCAAGCGCCACGCCUGGGGCCCGGCUUCUAGCACUUCUCCCUUAACCCUGCUACCACGAUCCGAGCUGCCCUUUUGGCCCCGUGCAAUUUUAUUAGAAAUCAUUAUCCCUUUCGCAAUUAAACAUAACCACCAAACCAA
rnacentral:antisense_RNA from 1 species